rnacentral:lncRNA from 1 species
GGUGGGACUUCUUGGGUUUUCUAGUUUCAAUUUUGUGAGAGAGAAAAAUAAAAGAAGUUUUGUUCUUCUUCUUCCACACCAUCUCUUCCUUGACAAGCUCCAUCUUCUAAUCUAGAGGUAUCCAUUUGAUCUGAAGAAAGGAGUCUCCAUCAGCCAUCUAGAGUCUUCAUCACAAGCUAGUACUCCCAGGAAGGAUGAUCUGUUCAGGGCUUCAAGUGGACUACCUGUAGAGGCCGGACGUGCUGUACGGCUGCUCAACAUUAAGAAGAAACUCCUACCAUAUUUAUCAGUAGUAAUGAUCGUCGACCAAUGAUCAG